CAGCAGACAUCACAUUUCCCUCCCGGGCGGCCGAUGCAGUCUACUGGCUCUGAGUGGCUGACUGCAGCAGCCUCUGCUGCCUCACCCAGUGGCUUUUCUGGCUGCCGAUCAGAAGAGGCAUGACGGAAUGGACGACCAAACACGAUCAACACCACUUAAUUGAACUUAAGAAUGCCAGAUAACUUUUCAGAACUGAAGAUGAAAGAAGACUGGACUGGAACCAGAUGGUGACAGGACUGGAACCAGAUGGUAAUUGCACAGGAAAUGGAAUGCUGACUGGAAUGCUGACCGGACUGGAGCUGAAGUGGUGACCGGAAAGGAACCGGAAUGAUGACACUGAGAGGAACCAAAGUGGUGACCGGGCUGGGUCCAGAAUAAUGACACUGAAAGGAAUUGAAGUGCUGACCGGGAUGCAACCGGAAUGGUGUUGUGAGCUGAAAGCUUUUGAAUUGAUUAUCUGUUUAUGUACUCUGUGAAUGGGCACUGCGGAUCC